GACGGGGGGGUCCUAGCGUUGUUCGGAAUCAUUGGGCGUAAAGCGGGCGUAGGUGGCUAUGUAAGUCAGGAGUGAAAGCCCUGGGCCUCAACCCAGGAAGUGCUUUUGAAACUGCGUAGCUUGAGUGUGGAAGAGGAUAGUGGAAUUCCUGGUGUAGUGGUGAAAUACGUAGAUAUCAGGAGGAACACCGGCGGCGAAAGGCGGCUAUCUGGUCCAACACUGACACUGAGGCCCGAAAGCGUGGGGAUCAAACAGG
rnacentral:rRNA from 1 species